ensembl:lincRNA
ACUUGGUGUCCAGUUUGGCCAUCUCCUGCACGUAGAUGCCGAUGCUCUCGCUGUCGAAGAGCAGGAAGUACACAUUCUUCAGCGAGGACGAGCCCGAGUCGUCCUCGAAAUGUGAAGCGUUGACUUAAGAGAUGCCAAGUAACUCAGCAGAUGUCACACAGACGAUAAAUAGCAAAGAUGGAAGUCUUCAUGCCGGAGGCAAUCCUAUAAGACAGCUGAGUUCUGCAGAGCUGGUAGGAGACAGACUUGCUCAGGUGAUAGAUCCAGCCAUGAUACUGACCCUAAGAGAAUGAGACGCUCUGCAGAAGACAGAAGAUUCCUGAAACUGGGAAAGGUGCCUAGAAAUCCUGAUAAGAGUGAAGAAGGAGCUGGCAGAGCAGCCUUCCUCCGCACUAUGAAAGACAUCCAACAGAGAGCAAGUUCCCACCUCACUUCCAGCUUGACUCCUUUUUAUCUCCUAACUGUGGUCUGUGAUGUCUUCAGCAAUGGUAUUAACUAGUUCUGGGUACCUGGAGGCACAGCAGCCAUGUUGAACCUAUGAGGUGAUGAAAAACCAUGCAACUAGAAACCAGAAUGGAAGAAAAGAAGAAGCUGGAUCCUUGACUGAAUUGUCGAUGGGGGAUAGUCCAUCAUCCCAGGGCUAAGACCACCUCCAGAUUUCUUGUUUGGUGAAACAAGUCCUGAUUGUUUACAUUCCCUCGUGUUGAGCUGUCUCUUGCUUGUAGCUGAAAGCAUUUCUAAUAGAUAUUCAGAUUAUCAGCCUUAGCUCCAAGCUAGAAUACUCUAUGGGACCUUAGCUUCUCCAUGAAUUCCUUUGCUCAUCUGUGUAAUGCUCAAUAAAUGUAAAUUGAACCCUGAAUGAGGGACAAUGAC